rnacentral:rRNA from 1 species
UACGUAGGGUGCAAGCGUUGUCCGGAAUUAUUGGGCGUAAAGAGUUCGUAGGCGGUCUGGCACGUCUGCUGUGAAAACUCGGGGCUUAACCCCGGGCCUGCAGUGGGUACGGGCAGACUAGAGUGCGGUAGGGGAGACUGGAAUUCCUGGUGUAGCGGUGAAAUGCGCAGAUAUCAGGAGGAACACCGGUGGCGAAGGCGGGUCUCUGGGCCGUAACUGACGCUGAGGAGCGAAAGCGUGGGGAGCGAACAGG